UCUCCUCCUCCAGCCAGAAGGUCUUUGGCUCCGGCCGGCUCGAGCGGAAUUCUGCCGCAAAGGAGUCCUCAUGCUGCCCACCUCCUCCAGCUCUUUGCUAUGCUCGGUGGAGGCCAUUGGACCUGUCGACAGAAAGAGGAAUAUUCUCCUUGAUGCACCCCAUCUAUUUAUUGUGGAGACACGAAUGCAGCGGUGGCUAUGAUGAGAGGAUCGUGCCUAUUUGUCUGUCAGACAUCCAGCUUCACUCUCUCCACAGCGUGAGACUGCAGUCAUAACAGCUCUUGUAAGGGCGUCUCCGCAAACAUGCAUAAUGGAUACCAGCAACACAGCCACAUCAUAAGUCAAAGUUUGAUCACGCAUCAAAAAAGCAACAUGAACAUCCAACAUUUUCCAUUUGUAGUUAGAAGCUGAAAAAAGUCAUGCGAGUUUGGAAGGACGUGAGGAUGAGUAUAUCCACAUUACAUCACAUUAAAUUCAUGUUCGCAGUUUAUUUGCACAUCCUUCUGUGUUACAGUCUCUGACAAAUUACGCUGCAGUCCUUAGCGUGAAACCAUAGAGGAUAUCCAGGGGUCUCAUGCCAACCCAGGACAGACGACGAGCGACAAGCCUGCGCAAGAUCUCUAAGUUUAAUAGUGAAAAAUAGCGUUGUUGACAGCUUGCAUGAAAUCGCUCUUUUCCAAAAAGCUGAGAUAAAGCUCAGAGAUCUGAUCUUCAGAUCUUCAGCCCUCACCUGGACGAAGAAGACAAACCAAGUAUCUGAAAUGACACCAUCUCCAGACCUCUGUGCGUGCAUGUGCGUGCGUGUUUGCUCCCCAGACUGUAUUUUUGAAAGGAUUCAUCCCGUGCUUCCGUGACUUUGAAAGAUGAUGCGUCGAUACCGGACUCGGACUGACAACUCUGAGUGUUUCCACAAUAUGAAGUGUUUACAUACCAGACUUGAGAGUGGAAGACAGAUUGCUUUCAGGGUGAAUUAUGAACUGCUCAAUGCGCUCGAGAUUCGGCCAUUCUUGAGGGGAAGCCCAUUACAAGGCGAGCAGAUUGAGGUAUGCGCAGACGAGAUUAGCAGGGCCGCAGCCGUUCUGCUGGGUGACACUCAAUGCAUGCGGUAGCGAAGCCACUGUCGCCUGUUGCACCAUGACUUCUCCUCCCCGUCCCCACCCUCUUUCAACCUGAGAAAAAGCGGUGCAUAGAUCAGCCCCAACGUACGGAUGCCAAUUUCCAACAAACUCCCAGUGUCCUGGAAAAGCGUUUGUCUGAAGAUGAAAGGCUUCACACCCGCUGCCUACACACCGAGCCGCUUCCAACACCUUCCCGCGACAGCGCGCAGCUCCGGCUCCCUGCGGCUCCCUCACCUCCAUCUCACGAUGGAGAUAAUACUACUAAUAACGACAAGCAGGCAGUCUGACCCGGAUCAGACGUUAGCUACUGAGCCUGAUCCCGUCCUUCCACACACAUGCAGGGAGAGUGAAAAACGACACUCACCGUAAUGCAAGAUUUCCAUUCUCUGCAAGAACAAAAGGCCUGAUGAAAAUCUGAGCAGAGGUACACUGGGUACUGCACGAAUUUUCUGUCAUCCAAUAAACAGGAAGGGUUGCAUUUCUCAUAUUGAAUGGACCUUGGCUCCUUGUGGAAUUGUUUUCUGUGGUCAUCCGCCCCAGGCAAGCAUGUCAGUAACACCCUCUUCAGACCUAACAACGUGAGCCCCUUCCACUUGAAGACUUCGUUAUUUGUGAAGUAAUCCUCUCAUGAGGUACUGUCCAAUGCAAAGUCUGAAGGUGCUUAUCCUCUAGUGAACUAAAUUUAGCCAGGAGAUAAUUUGUAGAAGAACACUGUCCAGGUUUUAUGUAUGGCUGGUAUCUGCUCAAACAUACCUUAGUCGAUUUAGGCAUUUUAAUGAGAGGAUUAAUGUAAAAUUGAACACAAGGCAAACAUAAAUUUACAAAAUGUAAAAUAUGAAUGGCAUGUUGUAAUGCUGAAGAAAGACAUAUGAGAGCAUUCAUGACUUAAAUGUGGUUGUAAAGUCCACCAAAUUAUGCACCAAAUUACUUUUAAUCCUCUUUGUGUGUUGUGACAUUUUAAGCAACUUUCGUAUGCUGUUUCUUUUUAAAUUCAGAGCUGCCAAUUUUUCCUUGUUGCUGUUAUUAGACGUAUUCAUGAUGCACCUGGCAUAUCUGACCUCACAGGAAGUACUUGGAUGUUUACAGGAAGCUCUUUGAGGAGCAGCGUGACAAAAUAUUUAAAAGAAAAAGGGGUCCAUCAACACCAUCACAACCUCUUUCUCGCACUUAUCAGGAGGAAGAAGCGAGGGGCUACGUCAAGGCCAAAGCCAACAGCGAGCAUGAUAACUCAAUGAGAAUGAGAGGAGUCAUCACUUUUCCUGUUUUAAUUAGUAACAUCAGCUCCUCAACAGGCAAUCAUGUCAUCUGCUUCCUUCCAGGCGUUGAUUAUAGAUUUCGAGUGAAAGAUAUUGUACAGAACCCGGAAUAUGAUAAAUUCUGAAGUGCAAUAUUCUGACAGCUGCAAUAAUGGAAUACAAUUUUCACACGGGCCCAAUUGAGACAUAAUCAUGCCCCCGCUCUCUAACCCAGGCUCAACAUGUUGAUGUUUCUAGAAGCUUGCUGAAUUACAAACCUGCUUCCACUCAUGGGGUUUUGAUUUUACCUGAUUCAGGAGGUUGUUAAAUGUGCACGAUCAUGGAGUCAUUUAUCACACGCUCUCUGUUCGCCGGUCACAGUCCCAGUAUGCCGUUCCAGGUGCACCCUUGCUGCACACAAAUCACAUCUACAUGUGAUUCAGAGCGGUCUGGAUGUCAUACAGAAUAUGUAUCAUGCUUCCAUUUUAAGGUCAGGCAUAUUCAAGGUCUGAAAAGAUCUGUUUUGCUCCACUGUAAAUGUGUGCAUUAACCUUACCCAGGAUCUGAAAACCUUUAGGAUUACAACAUAUAUAUACGUCAAGAAUGCUUUUAAAGGAAAAAGACCUUUUGAACUGUGAAUCUUUUUUUUUUCAGUCAUUUAAAACUGAAGACUGCUUGACAGGUUUUUAACAGAACAAAAGCAAAGCUGGAGAGACCUGGUGGAAAGGGCUCUACUGUUUGUUCGACUAGUUCUUUGGACUGAAAUAUGCCUAAUUACAGUGUUUUAAUGUAUGUAACAUGGCACAUACAGAAUCAAAGAAUUUAACUGUUGAAGUUCAGAAUCUUCUUAACAAUUCCAGAUAUUGUAAUCUUUUUAUUGCUGUUUUUUUUAAAGUGUCAUAAAUAUAAUUUAAUCAUUAUCUUUAAAUAUACAAUAUAACAAUAACUAAUUUUCAGAUUCCGAUAUUUUUUGAAAAUACUACUGAAAUAACUCAUAAUGUGCAUUUUUAGCUGCAUAUUGUCUGACAAACAAGCAAUUAGUGACAUAAGUAAGUGUCUGUAAGUAGUAGCUGUAAGUUGUAUUUGUUUAAUUUACUGAAAAGAAACAGUUCAUAGGAGUUAAUCAUUUUGUAAUGAGUACAACUCUGGUUAUGCUGUAUGGUUUUGAUUCAUUUAAAAGAAUCCAUUCGUGACAGGCAUUAAUGCAGGAGUUCAGUAACACUGGUUCUGCUGUAUGUUUGACUCACUAAAAAGAACCAGUUCGUAAGAGUCAUUUAUUGGGAGUCAGUAAGACACUGGCUGUGCUCUUUGUUCCUGAUUCAUUAAAAAAAUCAUACAUUCAGGACCAUUC